UACGUAGGGGGCAAGCGUUGUCCGGAUUUACUGGGCGUAAAGAGUGUGUAGGCGGCCAAGCAGGUCCGUUGUGAAAACUGGAGGCUUAACCUCCAGACGUCGACGGAAACCGCGCGGCUAGAGUCCGGAAGAGGAGAGUGGAAUUCCUGGUGUAGCGGUGAAAUGCGCAGAUAUCAGGAGGAACACCAGCGCGAAGGCGGCGCUCGUGGGCUG
rnacentral:rRNA from 1 species